rnacentral:lncRNA from 1 species
CCCACGGUCGCGCACGCGCGCGCGUCGCUGAGCAGGGUGCUCGCAGACCCCCCGCUCCCAGCCGGCUCCUCCAGGCUGCCCGCGGGGGGCGCCCUCCUGCUCCCCUCCGGCCCUCGGGCGCCCGCCUCGGGCAUCCCGGGCCUGGGGCUCGCGCAACCACCCCUCUUCCCACCUGGGCUCCGGGGCCCCCGCUGCAACAGCCGGCGCAUUUCCUAAUUUAGGGCGUCCCCGCCGGGGGCAUGGUCCCUUGCAGGAGGCUCGAGAGCCUUGCCUGCCACCCCUGGGGCUCCGGAAGCGGCGCCCUCUCCUCGUCGACACUCCUGCAAAGCAAGGGCCGGCCCCCGCCGCGAGGAGGCACCCCGCGGGAUGGGCGGAAGCCUGGUGCCGGCAGAAAUGCCGCCGCGCACCGCCAGCUCCCCGCGUAGGGCUCCUUCGCAGCGAGCGCUGAUCACGACUUUUACGAAGCCGCUUUUACUCUGGUUUUCCCAGGCCUGGAGAGGUGCGCCCCACUGUGUUUCCAUGGCCUCCAGGUAUCCUGUUUUCUCGUCCCAAGAUCCAGGUUAAAGGAGGGGCCUUUAUCGGAGGCAAGCUGUCCCUAAGGGAAAAAUCCAGAGAGCUGAUGGAAACACACCAUGUACCAGAAAGCUUCUCUUUCCGCCCGACACGUGUCAGCCCAAGGACAUUCGUAUCCCAAAGGAAGUCACCGGCCCGAUCCGAAUACCAACCGAGCCUCAUCGCAAAUGCGUAUCCCUCUCAAGACACUGGAGGCCACUUGGUCACAGAGACGCAGGGAAGCUGCAAACUGAGCUGGAGCUGGUGUCUCAAUGUGAGUAGGUUGCUCUAAUCACAUGUGGGCAGACAUCCAUGGAAUCCGUGGUGUGGGGCCGAGUCAGCCACUUGAGGAAGGAAUCCGGACUCAGGCUGCUUGUUUUGUCGUCGUGGAUCAUGACGGGGGAUCUGAGUAAUGGUGAAGUGAUGCGUGAUGGAACUUCUCUUACGCGUAUGUGUGCUGUCUGCUACCCAUUUGACUCAAAGCUCUGUGCUUGUCUGAGUCAGGCCUGGACCACCCACCAGUGCCCCAUCAGAAGCUGGCACGUUAACGUGUGUACGGAAUUUUAACUAAUGAAUGGGAUGCAACGGACGAUCCGGCGUGCCCCGUAAUUUACAAUUUGCUUUUUAGAGUGUACUUAGACAUUUAUUUUUCUCUCUUUCAUUUUAAAGUUAGGUCGUUUUCCUGAGGCAAAGUAUGCCUUGAAUCGUGCGUGCCAUUUUCAAGAUGUAUCCGUGGUCUGACCCAUACCUGAUUUAACUCGAGUAUUAACACGCGCUUUUCUGUAGGUGCUCUUGCGUCUCCUUGCAUACGUUUUGCUAUUUGGAAAGAUUUUUUAAAGUCAUGAUUCGCACGAAUAGGAGGAGGUCCUCAAUUAUACCUGGAUUUGCAUUACUUGUUUAAUAGGAUAAGCCCAGAUGUGCUGAGAUGGUUUAAACACUAUGCCUCCCAGAUGUGCCUCUGUUAAAUCACAAAUUCAAGGUAAUAAAUAUGCUGCUGUUGUAUGUUCA